UUUUAUGGAGAGUUUGAUCCUGGCUCAGGACGAACGCUGGCGGCGUGCCUAAUACAUGCAAGUCGAGCGGUCCCUUCGGGGAUAGCGGCGGACGGGUGAGUAACACGUAGGCAACCUGCCUUCAAGA
rnacentral:rRNA from 1 species